rnacentral:rRNA from 1 species
UACGUAGGGGGCUAGCGUUGUCCGGAAUCAUUGGGCGUAAAGCGCGUGUAGGCGGUCCGGUAAGUCCGCUGUGAAAGUCGGGGGCUCAACCCUCGAAUGCCGGUGGAUACUGUCGGGCUAGAGUGCGGAAGAGGCGAGUGGAAUUCCUGGUGUAGCGGUGAAAUGCGCAGAUAUCAGGAGGAACACCAAUGGCGAAGGCAGCUCGCUGGGACGUGACUGACGCUGAGACGCGAAAGCGUGGGGAGCAAACAGG